rnacentral:rRNA from 1 species
AUGGACGAAGACAUGAAGCUUUCGCGGAGACGACGAGGUGGCCGCUGCUGCACCCCCAUGCCGUGGACACGAAGAUUCCCGUCCUCUCUGCCAUCGAUAACGACACUUCUCAUCGAUAACGGCACUUCUCGGCAGGCGCAGACCACAUGGCCGUCUUCCUCUCUGGCCCAUCAGAUUCAGACCCUAUCCCUCUUCCUCUGCAUCUCUGUUAAAAUAUGCUCAGGUCAACUAGGAGAUGAUGCAAGCCAAGGCACUCACAGUGAUUUAAGAUGGAAAGGGAAGUGGACUGUGUGCCAGAGAGAAGAUAUCAGUGAUGGUGGACCUGGUGAUGAGGGCAUCAAGACAAAGAGAUUAAUUCACAACUUUGUUCUUGAUAGGUUGUCGCAUUCCUCGCAGAUUUACCACUCCUUCCCUCUCCUGGAAUCACUAAAUGAGAUCUUGGAAGCUAAUAGAGUUGAAGAAUCACAUGAUGCGUCGGCAAGCCGCUUCGUCCCGCCGUCCCUGGGAAGCUCAAGUGCUGGACCUGCCGACGAUCAUCAGGCGGCCGCCGCCGUCCAGGGUCGGGAGAGCUUCUAUUUUCACGAGUGGAACAUGGGAGGGCAGAUGAGUGACAAAUCAAAGAUCCAAGGGGGCGAACGCAAAAACACCACCCACCCGCAUCAGUUGCCCACGAAUGAGAGAGUUGGCUGA